GACCAGACUCCUACGGGAGGCAGCAGUGGGGGAUAUUGCACAAUGGGGGGAACCCUGAUGCAGCGACGCCGCGUGGGUGAAGGAGCGUUUCGGCGCGUAAAGCCCUAUCGGCAGGGAAGAAGGAGGACGGUACCUGACUAAGAAGCCCCGACUAACUACGUGCCAGCAGCCGCGGGAAUACGUAGGGGGCAAGCGUUAUCCGGAUUUACCGGGUGGAAAGGGGGCGCAGACGGCAGCGCAAGCCAGGAGUGAAAGCCCGGGGCCCAACCCCCGGACUGCUCUGGAAACUGUAUGACUUGAGUGCAGGAGAGGUAAGCGGAAUUCCUAGUGUAGCGGUGAAAUGCGUAGAUAUCAGGAGGAACACCGGCGGCGAAGGCGGCCUGCUGGACCGCGACUGACGUUGAGGCUCGAAAGCGUGGGGAGCAAACAGGAUUAGAUACCCCGGUACAC
rnacentral:rRNA from 1 species